CUGCCACCAUUCUCCAUGUUUCCCCUCGGUGGUGGCUGUCGAAGCUGCGCCCCCCCCCCCAUUUUUGCUUCAGUGCCUCUGCUUGCCCUGAUGCUCAUUUGCGACGCCACUGCCACCCUGCCACGGCUGCCACCGUCACAGCCACUAUGUUGCCUCUGCUGGCACUGCAUCUUUCUUCAGGUAACCAGCUCAGCCGAUUCAACUAAAAGUAUCUACUCUAAGCAAAGACCACCUCAGCAAAAUAUUUCAUUGGACCUAAGGUUGCAACACCAGGAGAGGGGGCCUAGGAAGAUGUCUCCCAGCUUGCACACCAACUGAGCCCGACAGCCUGCUUAUAUAGCCAGAGACUGUGUGUCUGCACCAGGAAGAGCAAACCUUUCAUGCAGAGGAAUAUUGACGUUUCUACCAAUCACGGCACUGUGCUCUUUGUACCAGUCACAGCAAUCCCCGUGCAGGCCACCUGGGGAAAGUGCUCCUCUUGUUCAGGUGAACAGGGUUGCAGGAAAAGUCCAGCGCAAGCUGUUUAAGCAGUCUUGGCUGGGGCUGCACCCUCAGGCACAAGAAUAAGCAGUUGCUCUCACCUUACGGCUUCCCCAUGGCGUUCAUGGAGCAUUCAGAAUGGCCAGGGAACAUAAACAUUGAAAGGAGGCUUGGAGUGAGAUCUUGAGAAGCAUAUCAUUAACACUAUCAGCAAAUCUUUAGCAGAGUUUAAAUGUGUCAGUGAUGCCCAGCAACUGUCCGGCACCCCAGAAAGUGCAGACCCUUUAAGUAAAGCUCUGAUGCUCUCACGUAUUAGUAACGAUGAUAGCUAUGCUAUAUCACCAAACACUGCUCUAAGGGUUCCAGUGUCAUCACGUCUAAGAUGAAGACUAUGCUGGCCCUCCUGCUACACGCGAAGACACAGCUACUAAGCGGUGACAGAAAGGCUGCCUAGCUGGUUGUUUCAGAGCAUACUCGUUUUGACUGGUUAGUCUGGCAAUACCUUCUAAGUAUUUUAAAAUAGCCCCUGAAGGGUGCCAAGAUUUGAACCCCAGCUGCCUGACUCCAGUCUGUCUUCUUCAUCAGGCUGAAUCCUAUCUUCCCACGACAGAUGAAGCAAAGGGCAAACAAAGUAAGUGACAACUGGGUUUUCCCACGUUCCUGCCACUGAUGCCGUGCUUUUACCUCGCAGGACAUUCGAUAUGUAAGUAAAAAAUCUGCUGCCAAAACUUUAAUAGCACUAAAGGGCAAAGGAAAAUACAGCAAAUAGCUGAAUUUAUCAUGGAUAGCUCCUCCAAUGGCACAAAUGGAUGCAUUUACUGACACUGAAUGUAUCAUUUAAAACAGCUGUGUGAAGCUAUAUGCAAUGCUGUGUGCAUGCGAGGUGAGGCAUCUUCCCCCUGAGAGACAAUGUGCAGCUUUAAUAGACGCUUAGGUGAGCUACAGACAUACAAUAGUUCAGCACUGCAUAGGCUCCCAUCUCGGAUGUGUGCCUAAAUGUGUUCAUCUUUCAAGGAGAUGAGGCAAUAAAGAAAAAUCUUGUUGAAAUCAUAGAACCCAUAAUUAUGAUCCUUAAACUCAGGAAUUUGAUGUCAAGCGAAACAGUUACUACGUUUGCGCUUCAGUUUUCACAUUUGUGAGACAGGUGAGGAUCGUACCUCCUUCAGACUGUUGUGAGAGAAAAGAAAACUAAUGUGGGCAGCACGCUGGGAAUAACUUCUGGUGCAGAAUAGACACUUAAUAUACAUUUACAUUAGUGUGAGCAGUGUCCUAGGACUGAUUAUGGUGCGCCAACAUUUUCAAAGCUAAAGAAAGUAUUAAACAAAGCACGUUUUUCAGAAUGAA